rnacentral:lncRNA from 1 species
AAGUCCCGGGCGCACUCCCCGGAAGUGACGUAACAAGGCACGCGUGGCUCCGGCCGGCGUUUCCGCAAACAGAAUCGUGGAUGACUGUGUGGGUGAGUGUGGCGUUCGGCGUUCUGGCCUUUCCUUGCCUCUUUGUCUUAAAUCUUGUGUAUUUAAGAGCAGAGAUAGCCUGAACGCCGGGACUCCUGGCUGGGAUCGUUACUCGUUAGCCUCCUGCCUCCGGUCCUUGCUUGGUGGGAUUUAUUGUGCCCAUAGCCGGAAGCAGUGUGGAUACUGCUUGUCUUGAGACGGUGGGUGCUGUUGCUCCUCCAGACCACAGUAGCCCAGGGAGGACAAGAUCCUGUGCUUCUUUCUGCUAGGGCCGAAGGGCUGUGAUGAGGGAUGGGCCGGAGACAUGUUGGGAGCCAGAGAGGGUUUGUUCUGUCUGGGGCACUGCCGUAGGACCCUGACCCAAAGGUUGGGCAAAAGGCUGGGCCCGGGAUGGGAACCGAUGAACUUAGUCGGAGAGAUGCUUUCCCCUUUCCGUUUCAUUGGCUUGCACCCCGCUGUAGACAGUCAAGGUGGUCCGUGAGAUCAUGCCUGACCAUGAGCUAGCAGCCACAAACAGAGAUGAGCAGGAAAAAUGAUUUACUUGAGUCGCUACUGAACUUAUGGAGCGGUCCUGGCCUGUGCUUACCCCAUCAAGCACACUUCCGCCACCCCAGUCAGCCAGUAAAAAGAGACGAAUUCAUAAUGAAAAGCAGGAAAAGGAGAUUUCACUCUAUGUGAAAUUGGGAGGUGGUGCAGACAUAGCCAUCCAGUAACCCUUCCAUCUUUGUGGGUCUUGAAAUGAGGGUGAGGUUUAACUAGAAGGCAAGAAGAAUGCAACCUGGCCAAAGUGUGGUCCUGCCUUCAAUUACCCGUCUUUGCCUGGGCUUCCGUUGUUUCUUGUAAGGUGGUCUCACUACGCCUUUUGGCUUGCUCCUUUCCCGUCUCUCAGCAUAAAGUUCCUAGGGGAAUAUUCAUUUUUUCCUCUCCCCCCACUUCCUUCUCUCCUUCCCUCCCUCUCCCUCUCCCCUCCCACUCUACUUCCCUUAUUUUGGUGUUCAUUGUUUCAACAAUUUAACAGCUCAAGAGAUUUGGGUAUCCCUUUAGAAUAUCUUGAUUACUGUGAGUCAAGUUACAGUGUGAUUGCAGGUACAAACAACGAACUCCCUGUCACUCUACUUAUUACCAUAAAUUUCCUUCUGCAUUGUUCCAUCAACUCAUCUCUCUUUAAGUAUUUUCAAUACCAUUGCUGAUAGUUUUAUUAUUGUAGGUGUUGAUGCGAAGCUAGGGAUCAAACUCAGAGCUAGAGUGUGCCCUUGUGAACAAGAAUUCCUGGAAGGAAGCUGGGACCCCAGAGCUAUUGAUUGAUUUUUAGAAUCUUGGUGGUCUUUGGAACUUGAGUGAUUUGGAUAAGGUGGAGUGUUGCAAGUCCAGAUUCUGAUUAUCUUGGUCCAUCUUUAGUCCCCUUGUCAUUUAUUUUGCUCUUUACGUGACCUGACAUUUGUGUGACCAUUAGGUAAAUCCUUUAGAAUGUACAAACAGAUCCCUGGUUCUGACCAACUAAUAAAAGGUAAAGGAUUCUGUCAGAUAGCAUCUGGUUCCUGUAGCUGAGAUUUGCUUGCCUUUCUGUGACCCACCUACCUGAUGCUUCCACCAAUGUAUUUGAGAAGUGUCUGGAUUUAUGACUUCUUUCUUCUGCAACUAUAUAACUUACUGGAAUGGUUACUGUGUUAGAACAUGGAAUUUUAGUAACCUGAAUCUGAGUCCCUUAGUCAUUGUCACGAAAUUUGGCUCGAGAAUAAACUAUCUCCUAUUCCCCUUGAGGUGAGAGCCAUUGCAUCCCUGUGUAUCAGGUAAAGGGCUCCAUCAUGGAGCCAUGUGACAUUGGAUUCUAGACAUUCUUAAUCAUUUUAUGGUAUUGAAUGCAUUUUAUGACAGCCAAUCUGUGAAAGUAUAGACCAUGAAUAAAAUUCACCUUAAACACCAGUACUUAUUUUAGGCAAUAGUUACAGCUAAGGAUACUAUUUCACAUGUUUUUUUGAUGAUAAAACUAAGUUUCUUCCAGGCAUUAAAUGGCAGAGGGGAUGUAAGAGUUUUCCUAACUCUUUGGUCAGUUUUCCUUGAUACUGAUUUAUAGUAGUUACUCUGUAAAUUCUUUUCCUAAUUGAUUUUGUUUUCUUUGUUCUUUUACUCAGUUGUUCCUGUGUGACACAUUUUGGGGUUUUUGUUGUUGUUGUUCUUGUUUGUUUUGGUUAGUUUGUUUGUGUUUUUGCUUUGAUUAUUGGUUAGUGAAAGCUAAUGUCCCCUGCAAUCCUUAUCAGUUCCCAGUGACUUGUUUUUAACUUGUUCAUACAAAUAAUUUCAUCUUUUCUUUAUGCAAAAUGUCUUUACAAGUAAUUUAAACUUUUGUCUUAGUUACUUUUCUUUCUAUUGCUGUGAUAAGACACCAUGACCAAGGGGACUUUUAGAAGAUUUUUAUCUGGGGAUUAUAGUUUCAGUGGGUUAGAGUCUGUGAGCAUCAAUGUCAGGGAACGUGGUUGGUAGGCCGGCCGGCCGGCCGGCCUGUGGCAUGCAUGGUUCUAGAGCGGUAGCUGAGAGUAUGUCUUGAUUUACAAGCACAAGGCAGUGAGCUAGCUGUGAAUAAACUGGCCUUUAGAAAACUUCAAAACCUACCCACGCGACACACCUCCACCCAGGCCACACCUCUAAUCCUGCCCAGACUCUAGCACCAAUUGAGAGCAAGUAUUCAAAUAUAUUAGCCAAUGGGGCUUGUUCUCGUUCAAACCACCACAUGUCUUUAUUACUUUUGGGACUCAGGGUUUCUUAUUGUUUUGACUUUGAUUUCCAUUUACCAUAUAUUUCAGUAACACAGCUUGAUAUUUUAGUAGAAAUAUUUGUUAUAAAUUUAAUGGAGAUAGUUCACAUGCAUUUUUUUUGUAGUAGGUUGGCAAAUUAAUUGAAUGACUGAAUACAUAGGCCAUUACAAUUCCUUCCUACAGAUUACUUCUUUUUCCUCCCAAUUUACACAUGUGCCCCAGAAUAUAUUUGAAAGCGAUUUUAAAGGUGAGUCUUCAAGCUGUUCUAAAGCUAUUUCCACUCUUCGCUUUCUGUGUAGUUACAGGGUUCAUUAUGAAAUAAGGAUUUCGGGCUGGAGAGAUGGCUCAGUGGUUAAGAGCACUGACUGCUCUUCGGAAGGUCCUGAGUUCAAAUCCCAGCAACCACAUGGUGGCUCACAACCAUCCGUCAUGAGAUCUGAUGCCCUCUUCUGGUGUGAGGACAGCUACAGUGUACUUAGAUAUAAUAAUAAAUAAAUCUUUAAAAAAAAAAAGAAAUAAGGAUUUCAACGUCUUGACGUCCUGUAUUAUUUGUAGUCAAAAUAUCUAAGGGGGCAGCUUACUAGAAAAGCGUGGUGCAUAAUUUAGGAGAGUUCAGGCUGUGCUACUUGGUUUGGGGGGUUGGGCCCUGGGAUCAGGCUGAAUAUUAUUCUGGAGGAGACAGUUUACCUCAUGGUAGUCAAGGAAUUACUGGCAACCACGUAUACUUGACAUACUUACCCCCAAACAGCCUUUACCUCCUCAAGUCUCUGGGAGCUCCCAACAUAGUGCUUCUAGCUGAAAACCAAGCAAGCGCUCACCACGGACUGGUGCCGGGUUUCCCCACACAGUAACGCUUUGCUCCAGCCCCAAAGAUCUGUGACCAUUUGAUAAUCGAAUUCACAGAGCCCGCUUUCAGUCCUCAGAGUUAGCAGUUUAGUGCUUGCUGUUCACAAGUCUAAUGUUAACAUUUCCUGACACUCAAGGCAGGCCCUUUGCUAUGAGACCCUGUAAGGC